ACUUUUUCACACCACUGUAUUUGUGUAGUGUUCUGUUUGUUCAUUUGAGAACGGCAGAGCAGUCUCUUAUGUUACAGUACUGAUGUUGAGAGUAUAGAAGGAAGCAAAUAACUAGACUCAAGGGAUGCACAGUUAAUUGGAUAUUAAUUGCGUACAUCAUUUUGGCCUCCCAAAAUCGAAUGAAAUGCGUGCUCCAGUCAUAUAAAACUCUGCUGCAUAUCAAAUCGAGCGCAUCCUAAACUAACAGCCAGCCACCAGGGGAAGAGCAUCGUGUUUAGCCUUUUGGGGAGCUUUCAUGCUGCUGUGUGAGCACCCUGCACCAGCAGCCUGUCAUAGACUACCCUGAAAGAGUAAAAAAAAAAACACUUUACACACGCUCCAUCACAACGCCACCGAAAUCCAAAAUACAGUGAUACAAAUUUUUGAUCAUUUGGCACACCCCUAAUAAACAUUGGUGGCGUGGCCAUAAUUAUUUAAUCACAGCAGUUUAUCUUUCAUGAUUGCCAUGUUGAAAUAAAGCAAUUAAUGACAACAUUUCUGCCUCCACAGGGUUUGAACUACAGUUUCACUUGGGUCCGAACCUCCAGGGGAGGAGGGUUGUGGUUCACACCAACUAUCCGCUUGAAGGACAACAAUUUAAACGAAACAACUUCCGUGUUCUGGUGUGGAGCUACCCAACAGGAAGGGAGGAUGACUCUGAUAAGUUCUGCUCUCUGGACCUCAAGGUUGCUGGGUCCUAUCAGUACUACUUUGGAUAUGGAGACACAGAGAGGUCAGGAGGAGGAUACGUCGUAGUCGACCCAGUCCUUCAUGUUGGAGCAGACAAUCGCAUCCUCCCAUUAGACUGCAUCACCAUCCAGACCUACCUGUCCAAAUGUCUGGGCCCCCUCGAUGACUGGCCAGAUAGACUGAGAGUAGCCAAGGAGUCGGGAUACAACAUGAUCCACUUCACGCCUCUGCAGACUCUAGGAGAGUCCAGGUCCUGUUACUCCUUGGCAGACCAGCUCAACUUUAACCCUGAGUUCUGCCCCGACGGUCAGAGCUACAGCUGGGUAGAUGUGGGGGCUCUGGUGGAGAAGUUAAAGAAAGAAUGGAACAUGCUGUGUAUUACAGAUGUGGUGUAUAAUCAUACUGGUGAGUAACUGUGUGCUGAUACCUGUGUGUGUAAUCUGUGUUCAGAUUGGUUUACAGCCCAACCAGAGUGGAGACCAGACUGAAAUACAAGGUAUUAGAAGAACAUCAAAGUGCUUCUGCAUAAUUAUGGAAAUCUCUAAAACCCAGCAUAGGCUGGGUGGCAAUAACAGAGAUGGCUGAAAUGAACAGUGUGUUUGCAUUAGUUUAUCUGGCAGGGAAAGAAUUUCAAUAAAAUAAGAGCCCAAACUCUUUAACAGCUACAGAAGCUCUCUAGACUGACCGCAGUGAACUGUUCAACGUGGGAGGCAAAAGGUUGUUGACCGAGUGGUGGAGUUGGUCAAAAUAACUAACAAGAACAGACUGAGAAUGUGGGGCUAGUUUCAAAUAUAAUUCUUAUUUAAUCGUUAUAAUAUUUCUUUACUUACUACAUGCCACUACGAUAUCAUCAUCAUAGUAUAUCUAUGUAUAUAAUACAUCAUAAAUAUAUAAUACUCUACUCAGUGCUCUAUAGGACGUCUGCUCAUCUUCUCCUAUGGUAUCUGUUUCCCUUCUCUAAGCCAAAGGAGAACAGACCUUUGGAACCAGUGCAACGUGCUCCUUUCACUGGGAGCACCCAGAGCA